rnacentral:rRNA from 1 species
UAAGGAGGGUGCGAGCGUUAAUCGGAAUUACUGGGCGUAAAGGGGGCGUAGGUGGUUGAUUAAGUUAUCUGUGAAAUUCCUGGGCUUAACCUGGGACGGUCAGAUAAUACUGGUUGACUCGAGUAUGGGAGAGGGUAGUGGAAUUUCCGGUGUAGCGGUGAAAUGCGUAGAGAUCGGAAGGAACACCAGUGGCGAAGGCGGCUACCUGGCCUAAUACUGACACUGAGGCACGAAAGCGUGGGGAGCACACAGG